UUAAUCCUACGGGAGGCAGCAGUGGGGGAUAUUGCACAAUGGGGGGAACCCUGAUGCAGCGACGCCGCGUGGGUGAAGAAGCGCCUCGGCGCGUAAAGCCCCGUCAGCAGGGAAGAAAAUGACGGUACCUGAAGAAGAAGCCCCGGCUAACUACGUGCCAGCAGCCGCGGUAAUACGUAGGGGGCAAGCGUUAUCCGGAGUUACUGGGUGUAAAGGGGGCGCAGACGGCGAUGCAAGCCAGGAGUGAAAGCACGGGGCCCAACCCCGGGACUGCUCUUGGAACUGCGUGGCUGGAGUGCAGAGGG
rnacentral:rRNA from 1 species